GAGGUGACUUUAGAUAUACAGAACUCCCACUGACUACCAAAAGUUUUGUCUGGCGUCAGAAGAUAGAAAUUAGAAGAGCUUUAGCUAAGGAGGCUGAGAGACACUUGGCCUGAGUGAUUCCUAAAAGAUGCUUGAAAGGUAUUUUCUGAAGAAGACAGAGGCAGAGCACUACUGAGUAAUACCUGCAGUGCUCUUUAGCAAGUUCUGCCAAGAAGCAGC